UACGUAGGUGGCAAGCGUUGUCCGGAUUCACUGGGUGUAAAGGGUGCGCAGGCGGAUUGGCAAGUCAGAGGUGAAAUCUCACGGCUUAACCGUGAAACUGCCUUUGAUACUGCUAAUCUUGAGUUAGGGAGAGGUUGAUGGAAUUCCAGGUGUAGCGGUGAAAUGCGCAGAUAUCGGGAGGAACACCAGUAGCGAAGGCGGCACUCUGGGCCGGUACUGACGCUGAGGAGCGAAAGCGUGGGGAGCGAACAGG
rnacentral:rRNA from 1 species